rnacentral:rRNA from 1 species
CUACGGGGGGCUGCAGUUUCGAAUUAUCCACAAUGGGCGAAAGCCUGAUGGUGCAACGCCGCGUGGGGGAUGAAGGCCUUUGGGUUGUAAACCCCUGUCACCAAGGAACAAUAAGCGGGUGAAUAAUCUGUGAUGAGUUAACUUGGAGAGGAAGCAGUGGCUAACUCCGUGCCAGCAGCCGCGGUAAUACGGAGACUGCGAGCGUUACUCGGAUUCACUGGGCGUAAAGGGUGCGCAGGCGGCUGUGUGUGUUGGGUGUGAAAUCCCGGGGCUUAACUCCGGAACUGCGCCCGAAACUACACAGCUAGAGUUUUGGAGAGGAUAGCAGAAUUUCUGGUGUAGCGGUGAAAUGCGUAGAUAUCAGAAGGAAUACCAAUGGCGAAGGCAGCUAUCUGGACAAAUACUGACGCUCAUGCACGAAAGCGUGGGGAGCAAAAGGGAUUAGAUACCCGUGUAGUC